UUAAAGAAGCAAAUCUUUUGCCUCCGUUUCAAAAAAGAAAAGAUUGGAAAAGCUUCCCUCACUAACCAGAUAGCUAAAUGCAGUUCCCAAAAGCCUAUCUUUAAUCACUCGAUGUAAGUUUCCGAGUGAAGUGACGCGAUACCCUCUUAACUAAUGACCAUACUUGUUCCUUUCCCGCAAAAAAAAAAAACUAAUGACCAUACUUAAUUCACCAUCUUGGUUGACAAAAAAGAAUGCAACCUACGCAUCUGUAUAUUUCCUUGUUAAUUAACUUAACUUGUGUUCAUUUUUUGAACAAGUCAUCCAAAGUGGAAUGGAAAUAAACCACCCGUCUAACCAUCCAACCAUUUGUUGGUUUUUAAUAUCCAUUCAAUACAUAUAUGUGUUUGCAGUAUGGCCCUAUAGGCCUAUUGUCCGACUCGACUUGUUCGAUCACCAGAGGUUCACUAGAAGCCAUAGUUAGACGGUUUGAAAUAUAUUUCUUGGUUUCGAUUUGAAGUUCAGCUACAUUUUUUUUCUUGAGAUGGCUUCAGCAACAUUUUAGUCAACAUAUAUUUGAUUUGAAAGUUUGUGUUUAAAUUUUAGUCCAAUCUAGGAUGGGAUUUUCUCAUGGACAAGCCGAUAGUGCUAGCUGUUUCUAUCGAUGUACAUAUCACAACACGGAGACGUCACGUGGCUCUGGGCAUCGACUUAUAAAUUCAUGAAGACCGUUUACAAUCUCUCUGUUUGGCGUUAAAAGAUUAGUGGUACGCGGUGCAACAACCCCGUAUCUUCGCACAGACGAAUGCUCAAGGGUCAAAGUGUUAAACAAGGCAUGCAUGAUCCUAGCACCGCGCAACUGGGCCAGUGGCGAUCGUCUCACGUACCACGCGUCGGGAACAGCACUACUACAGUACACUAGUAUAAUGCCCGUGCGUUGCCACGGGCCUUCUAAUAUUUUUGUUGGUUGCAUAUUGAAACAUGAUGCCCUUCAAAUUUCACAUGUGUAGAAAAGAUUUCCAGUAACAGUCGACUUAUAUACUUGAUGCAAUGUAUUUCCAUUUUCCCACUUCACUUGCAUCUCCAUUAUUUCUUUUUAGUUGCAAUGUAUUAAAAAUGUAAUUUGGCAACAUAUACAUGAAGAGCAUAAAAUCAUAUACUUCCUCCGUUCUUAAAUAUAAGUUGUUUUAGAGAUUCCAAUACAGACUAUUUGCGGAGCAUAAUGAGUGAAUCUACACUCUAAAAUAUGUCUAUAUACAUCCGUAUGCAGUUCGUAUAGAAAUAUCUAUAUAGACUUAUAUUUAGAAACGGCGGCAGUACAAAAUAACCCAACACACUCUUGUAACGAAUAAAUUAUUAUUAUCUAGAAUAUAAAUAUAAUGAUGAUAAAAUAAUUGCAUGUAUCUUGAUUAUGAAAAUAAAAUAGAUAAAUAUACUUGUCUGUGCUCGUUGGAAUAUCAGCCAACAGAGAAUAUAGGUUGUGAAAUGCUAUUUCAAGUGCGUUAUUGAAGUCCCUUGAAAAUCUCAGUAAUUUCAAUAUCUCAUAGCUUUAUUCUCUACCAAAUGUGAUGUAGAGUGAGUCCAAAAUAUAUACAUGGUAUGCAUGUGUGGAGUGAGUCGCAUCCUGCUUUGUAGCAACAUAGGACAUUCUCUAGAUCACUUGUUUGGCUAUUAUCUUUAGAACAAUUUUUGCUAUUUCUAGAAUAUCUGACACUUCUCUCGUGGCAUAAUAACCACUCCUCUCAGUUCACAAGGGAGAAAGGAAAAGAAGCUAAUCUGUUCUAGACAAAUAAACAGCCUCCCUCAAAAAAGGAAAAGCUACUCCACGCCUCUCACUACACAUGCACAACACACAUCCCUUAUCCCCACCUCACAAGGCACAACUUCAGCAACUCACAUGGCAUAGUCCCGCUUUCUCUCCCUGCCACUGCUCCUCUUGUCCCGCCAUAGAGUCAUCUGCCGGCUCCUCUCCCAGCCUUGGUGUCAGCCAUCGCUUCCUCUCCCUGCCACUACGUAGUGGCUGGUGGACCACGCCCGACCGAGGGAAGCAACAACGGCGCCGUAGGUAACAGGCAUACACACAGUCGGUGGGCGCCUGAAACAAUGCCAUCAAACAUGCAUGAGCAACGACCUCGAUCAUGCCUCCCUGUAGGUUAAUUCUUCCCCUUUCUUAUCGUGUUUUGUUAGAGGGAUCUCAAAUGAACUAUUCAUAUUCGGCAAAAGUAAUAAACAAAAAAAUAUUCACAUGUAUCUCUGAAAUAAAAACUGCGCAGCAAAUUUGCAGUGAA